GCCCAGAGUGGAUCCCUGCCAGUUCCUGGCGUCAGACCCUCCCUGGAGCCUCAUAGCUGGCCAGGUCACCCUCUUUUGGACAGGAAGCCCCUCUUGGCCUGCCCCCUCAUUCUCCAGCCUCUCCUUUCCUCCCUCCCCUCUCCUCCUCCUGUCUACCCACCUCCCCACUUCCUCUCAGCCUCACACAAAGGCACAGGCCUUUCUCUCCCCCUCACAAUCGGCCAUAUGGCUCUAUUAUUCUAAUAUUCUGGAGACUUAUGACAACAAUGCUGAGGAACCGAACUGUCGGGUGCUCUGAGGUGCCAGCCUUGCCUUGAAGACACAUCUGGGCUGAAAGCCACUCUCCGGAAGGCAGCUACUGUGGACCCAGGGAAGCGCUGACCAUCAGGAUUUGGCAGUGAGAGCCUCCGUCCAUCUCCCACCCUCCGGACUUCGAUGUUGGGGCCAGCAGACAGGAGCCAUCAGACACGUUCUUUUCGGGCUGCCUCUUCCUCCGUCCAGCUCAGGUGACUGGUGGCCCCUCUGGGCCCAACCAGUCUGGGCAAGAAGCAGCCCCAGCUCUGUCAGAUGCCCAGGGUGGCCCACCCCCCUUCCUGGAGCCCAGCCAGCCCUCUCAGCUGGACUCUUGACCCUCUGUUUUCCUGUUUCUCUGCAGGAAAUGAGCUCUGAAAGACAAGCGCUGAGUGGGGUCCAGACAACAUAUCCAUGCUCAGGGCAGGAAGUAGGAAGGCGGGCAGGGAGGUCCCAGGCAUAUCUGUCCCCUUCUCUCAGAAAAACAAUGCUUUUAUACAAAUCUCCCCAGCAGACUUCUGCUUGUUCUCUUUGGAAAGAACCAGAACAUGUGGCCAUUCCUAGCUGCAAGAAAGUCUGGGAAAAAGGGAGCAAGAUUAUCAUGAUUGGCUUAGACCAGGGUCAGCAACCUUCCGUGAAGGCCUAGAUGGUAAAGACUUGAGGCUUGGUGGCCGUAGACUCUGUCACAACUACUCAACUCUGCCUUUGAAGCACG
rnacentral:lncRNA from 1 species